UAAUUAGUUAAAAUGUUAAUUAAUUAAAGGAUGAUUAUGAACCUAAGCCUAUAAUAAUUGAGCUAUGUGAAAGGCCGUUUCAAAUUUGUUUGAACCAUGGGAAUGUGUAGAUUAAGAUUUUGGUUGUAAUUUGAAUUGUUUCAAAUGUUGUAAAUGUAAUGAGCAUAAGCUCACCUUUACUUUGAAGUAUUUCUUUCUUGCUUUAUAUGAUAUGCAUGAAAAUGAAGUAAUUGGGUCCAACGCCCCU
rnacentral:lncRNA from 1 species